rnacentral:rRNA from 1 species
UACAGAGGUCUCAAGCGUUGUUCGGAUUCAUUGGGCGUAAAGGGUGCGUAGGUGGCGUCGUAAGUCGGGUGUGAAAUCUCGGGGCUUAACUCCGAAACUGCAUUCGAUACUGCGGUGCUUGAGGACUGGAGAGGAGACUGGAAUUUACGGUGUAGCAGUGAAAUGCGUAGAUAUCGUAAGGAAGACCAGUGGCGAAGGCGGGUCUCUGGACAGUUCCUGACGCUGAGGCACGAAGGCCAGGGGAGCAAACGGG